rnacentral:tRNA from 1 species
GGUGCUAUAGUGUAGUGGUUAUCACUCAGGAUUUUGAUUUGAUAAUUUCCUGAAACCCAGGUUCGAACCCUGGUAGCACCU